rnacentral:rRNA from 1 species
UACAGAGGGUGCAAGCGUUAAUCGGAAUUACUGGGCGUAAAGCGCGCGUAGGUGGUUUGUUAAGUUGGAUGUGAAAUCCCCGGGCUCAACCUGGGAACUGCAUUCGAUACUGGCUGGCUAGAGUGUGGUAGAGGGAAGUGGAAUUCCAGGUGUAGCGGUGAAAUGCGUAGAUAUGUGGAGGAACACCGAUGGCGAAGGCAGCCCCUGGGCCGAUACUGACGCUCAUGCACGAAAGCGUGGGGAGCAAACAGGAUUA